rnacentral:rRNA from 1 species
UACGUAGGGUGCGAGCGUUGUCCGGAAUUACUGGGCGUAAAGAGCUCGUAGGUGGUUUGUCGCGUUGUUCGUGAAAACUCACAACUCAAUUGUGGGCGUGCGGGCGAUACGGGCAGACUUGAGUACUGCAGGGGAGACUGGAAUUCCUGGUGUAGCGGUGGAAUGCGCAGAUAUCAGGAGGAACACCGGUGGCGAAGGCGGGUCACUGGUCCGGUACUGACGCUGAGGUGCGAAAGCGUGGGGAGCAAACAGG